GGGGCCGGGCGCGUUCGGACUGGACUGGGCCGAAUUGGGGCCGACUUCCGUGAACUCACAGGUGCUCUGGGGCUCCCCAAGCCACUGAGCUACUUAGCAUAGCAGCAGCCAGGUGAGCCUCGAAGCACCGCCCCCGACGUCGCUGAUUGGCUGAAGACGCACCUGCCAGCCGCAGCCAAUGAGAGACGGCGCACGGCCCUUGGCUUCCUUCGUGGGCCAGAGCUGACCUACCGCCCACCCAUAGCUCCGCCCCCUGCCCUCGCGCCCGACCCCGGGACCCACAGGUCUGUAAUAGGUAGAGGGAAGAGGACCAUACGGACCUGCAAGAUUCCUGUGCUACUAAGUUCGAAUCCUAGCCCCGCCGGUGGACCACUGAGAUCUGAGGAUCUUCUUACUAUGUAGUUCAGGCUGGCUGGAACUCACUAUGAAGCUCUAGGUGGCCUUGAACUUGAAGAAAUUGUUUUGCCUCAGCCUCCUAAGUGCUAGAUAACAGGCUUGGAUCCGCAGGUGGCCACGGUGAACUCAUCCUGGAAGCUGUUGAACAAAACAUUCCAGCCUUGUACUUGGUGGCUGUAUGAGUUGACUUCUCCUUGUUGGACAAAAUAUCUGACACCCACAACUUAAGAGAAGUUUGUUUGGCUCCCUGUUUCAAAGGGUUUCAGUCUGUGAUUGGCUGGUCCAAGGCAGAAAUGGCAAGGCGGAAGGACCCGAGGAAGCUCAAGCCAUAGAAACCAGGAAGCAGAAAGAAAGCAAGAGAACCAGAGGAAGAGAAAGACCUAGGGGAUAAGAAUGCAUCCUCCAGGUCACAUUCCCAGUGACCCACCUUCUCCAACCAGGGCCACCUCCUCACCGCACAU
rnacentral:lncRNA from 1 species